rnacentral:misc_RNA from 1 species
GAUGAAGAACGCAGCGAAAUGCGAUACUUGGUGUGAAUUGCAGAAUCCCGUGAACCAUCGAGUCUUUGAACGCAAGUUGCGCCCGAAGCCACUAGGCCGAGGGCACGCCUGCCUGGGCGUCACACGUCGUUGCCCCCCCAUCUACUCCUUCGGGAUUGCGGGGGGGCGGAUGAUGGCCUCCCGUGCGCCUAGCCGCGCGGUUGGCAUAAAUACCAAGUCCUCGGCGACGCACGCCACGACAAUCGGUGGUUGCGAAACCUCGGUUGCCCGUCGUGUGCGUUCGUCGCGCAUCGAGGGCUCGAAAAAAUGCUCGGCUUCGGCUCGGCUUUCAACGCGACCCCAGGUCAGGCGGGGUUACCCGCUGAAUUUAAGCAUAUCAAUAAGCGGAGGA